UACGGAGGGUGCAAGCGUUAUCCGGAUUCACUGGGUUUAAAGGGUGCGUAGGCGGGCAGGUAAGUCAGUGGUGAAAUCUCAGAGCUUAACUCUGAAACUGCCAUUGAUACUAUCUGUCUUGAAUUCUCUGGAGGUGAGCGGAAUAUGUCAUGUAGCGGUGAAAUGCUUAGAUAUGACAUAGAACACCCAUUGCGAAGGCAGCUCACUACGGAGUCAUUGACGCUGAGGCACGAAAGCGUGAGGAUCAAACAGG
rnacentral:rRNA from 2 species